CCUACGGGUGGCUGCAGUGGGGAAUAUUGGACAAUGGGCGAAAGCCUGAUCCAGCCAUGCCGCGUGUGUGAAGAAGGCCUUCGGGUUGUAAAGCACUUUCAGUGGGGAAGAAAGCCUUGGGGCUAAUACCCUCGAGGAAGGACAUCACCCACAGAAGAAGCACCGGCUAACUCCGUGCCAGCAGCCGCGGUAAUACGGAGGGUGCGAGCGUUAAUCGGAAUUACUGGGCGUAAAGCGCGCGUAGGCGGUCUGAUAAGCCGGUUGUGAAAGCCCCGGGCUCAACCUGGGAACGGCAUCCGGAGCUGUGAGGCUGGAGGGCAGGAGAGGAAGGUAGAAUCCCCGGUGUAGCGGGGACAUGCGUAGAGAUCGGGAGGCAUACGAGUGGCGACGGCGGCCUUCUGGACUGACACUGACGCUGAGGUGCGAAAGCGUGGGUAGCAAACAGGAUUAGAUACCCUUGUAGUC
rnacentral:rRNA from 1 species